rnacentral:tRNA from 1 species
UGUGGGGUAGCUCAAGUGGUAGAGUGCUUGCCUAGCAGGCAUAAGGCUUUAGGUUCAAUCCCCAACACCACAA